rnacentral:rRNA from 1 species
UACAGAGGUCUCAAGCGUUGUUCGGAUUCAUUGGGCGUAAAGGGUGUGUAGGUGGCGCGCUAAGUCGGGUGUGAAAUUUCGGAGCUUAACUCCGAAACUGCAUUCGAUACUGGCGUGCUUGAGGACUGGAGAGGAGACUGGAAUUUACGGUGUAGCAGUGAAAUGCGUAGAUAUCGUAAGGAAGACCAGUGGCGAAGGCGGGUCUCUGGACAGGUACUGACGCUGAGACGCGAAAGCGUGGGUAGCAAACAGG